UCCUGAUUUAAUCUCUAGGAUUUCUGGAGAGUCCUAUUUAUGCUUGAUCAGAGAAACUAUAUCCCAUAUACAUAGAUUCUUGAUAAAUUCUUGAUUGGUGGUGACUAACUUUGCUUCUGUAAAUGAUUAACCCACAGAGGGCACGUCUGUGGGGUUUGUGGCUCUGUUGCCCCAAACAGACUUUGGAAAUUCUCAGGUCUCCUUGGCACUCUCUUCAGAGACGUGUUGACUAUCUUUUGUCGGUUGGUCAAACAUUUGCGACCGAUAGCGUCUGUGGAUGUGGACAUUCCUUCCCUGUCUGAAGACAACAGGCUUUAUUUGAGGACUGCAUGAAAAGCGAGAGGAGUGGACAGAAACAACGGCUGUGCAUGGUUAGGCUCAAGGCACAGCCAGGAUCGCAGAGUCGACUUAACUCAUUUAUACAGAAGUCUUGGCUUCUUUCUUCAUUUCUUUGUCAUGCUCACCAUAAAAUACAGAUAAAAGAAGAGUUUAAGGAGGAGUUCAGACUGUGAUAAAGGUAGAAUCGGGCUAUCACUAUGGAUACUUUUAGAAACAAAUUGUGGACACUUUAUGAGAAAGAGGUGCCACACAGCAGAUUUUGUGAUCCAGCCUGCGGUGUCAGUCCUGCAGAGAAACUGAGCCCAGAGCACCUACAGCUUCUGAGAAAUGCUUUUACCUGUUCAAAGGCUGGACUUCAGACACAGGAACACAAGCUGAAGGGAAGCAAUAGAGGUACAAGUGAAGAACGUGGAUUGACGUUUGAGGAGUUUUGGGACGUUCUGAAGUCUGUCAUUGGCCCAAAUAUUGAGGACACGUGGUGCAAGAGAUUCUUUGAUGAGGUAGAUAUCAGCUGCACUGGACAAAUAAAAUGGCAGCAGCUGUGUUCCUACUUGCUUUUGGAGUACACUGAGCGACAGCGGGCCUCCAUUCCCACAGCUGCUCUGCUGGAGGCCCAGCCUCAGAUUAGACAUUGCUCUCAUAACAAGCGGGAGCCAACAGUCCGUGUGGUUGCUGUUUCCCAUCCUCCUCCACUCCGCUAUAUUAGCAUCAGUAAGGGGGGUCAGAUCACCGUCUGGAACAGCAGCCUACACACCCUCAAAACUUUAGGGCUUGCUGGAGACCCAACAGAGGAAGUGGCAAACACAAGGAGAUUCAGGGGUUGGACCACCGAUGCUGUGUACAUGGGCAACGUCCAUAGGAUUGCCAUAGCAACUGACUGCAGGGACUUGCGCUUUGUUACUAUUUCUUCAAACUGUUUGUUGGAGGAAAUUCACCUAUAUGGGUUUCGCAGUGUGCCGACAUGUCUGUGUUACUGGUAUGACGUGCAGGGUUUUCACUCCAAGAGUCUAGAACAGCCUCCUCUGCUGCUACUGGGGGAUGAAAAAGGAGGAGUCCACCUAAUGUGGUUCCUGAACUCAUCCAAGGGACUUUUUAAGAAACCAUCAAAGAGAGACAAAGGUCCACAAAGGAUCUUUUUCCAAGAUCUUGGCAAACACAGCGACAUGGUGUCCUAUCAGCACAUCCCCAGCAUCCACCAGGAACCAAUUACCAGAGUAAUGUUUGAACCCAGUACCAAUGUCAUCAUGACAUCGUCAGAAAGUGACACCACAUCUGUGGUCUUUAUGAAUGUGUCGUUGAAGCAGGAGCCUUACAUUUGGAAAUUUAAGCAGGGAGCCAAGUGUUUCGACUACAACACAUCCCUGCAGUUGAUGGUUACAGGAGGCUCUGACCGAAAAGUCAGACUGUGGUCACGAUACGUGACUUCAAGUCCUGUGGCUACACUGCUGGGUCACCACACCACGGUACUGGAUGUUGCAAUUUACCAACAUGUCGGGCAGAUCUUCAGCUACUCUAGAGAUGCUGAACUAAGAGUUUGGGACAUUUCUACCCAUCAGUGUUUGAAAGUUCUCCGCCUGCAGUUUCCCUGUCUGCAACCAGGUCGCAUCCCAGAACAUGGAAAUUUCCCCUUUCUGUUGCUUAGCCCUCCUCUUCCUGAUGAAAUGCAACCUCAUUUAGUGGUGGCCUGCAAAGAUUACCUGGCAGUGCUCAAUCUGUCAGAAAAGAGAAGAGGAGGAGGGGGUUGGUUGACAGAUGAGGAAUUCAGGACAGAAUUUAAACAGGGUCCAUACCUCUCAUGUGCCUUGUACAACCCCACCCUGAGGCAGGUGGUGACUGGACAUGCUGACUCAUCGGUCUUUCUGUGGGAUGUAGAGACAGGAAAGAGGCGGCUUUACAUUUUAAAUGCUCAUGGAGAAGAGGUGCUCUCCUGUAUGGCACUGGACUCCUCUCACAGAAGACUAAUCACGGGAGCUCGUAAUGGCACUAUGAAGGUGUGGAAUCUACUAAAUGGCCUAAACUUACACAAGCUGGAGCCCGUCACCAACUCUGAAGUCACUGGGUUGACCUGUCUCCACGACAACCGUCUACUGGCUGUGGGGUGGAGCCAGUGCAUCACUCAGUACAGCAUUGCAGGAGACAAGGUAAAAUCAAGGGACUUGAAGGUGAGAGCAGAAACGUCCUGGAAGUCCAGCGGUGUCCACAAGUCAGACGUCUUGGCUGUGUGUCAGUGCUCCGCUCUGAGCGUUGUUGCUACAGCCAGUUAUGAUGGAGAGGUAGUGAUCUGGAGCAUGGAGACACAAAAACCGAUGCUCCACCUGCAGAGAGGGACGCAGGCACGGUCAGCUCUCCCCGUGGAUAGCAUCUUGUUCCUUCAGCAUCGAGCUGGCAGGAAACAAUUAAGAAACAAGGGUGUCCUAGUGUCAUCCCAAGGUGGUUGGCUGUGCUUUUGGAGCAUCACUGGUGAGAAUCGCAGUUACGGUCAUUUCUACGCUCCAGAGCAGCCAGGUGAGCGUGUGCUUAGCCUGAACUCAGAUCAGUCUAAAAACACCAUUCUGAUCUCAGGUGACACAACGGGCUCACUUCAGAUUUGGGACAUUUCUUCCUAUGCAAUGGACAUCCAACCUGAGGCAACUUGUGAACAACCUCCACUGCUGCAAUCUUGGAGGGCUCACAAAAGGGCUUUGAUAUGUGUGGAAGUCCUUGAAGUGUUUGACAGACUGUUUGUCCUGACAGCAUCAGUUGAUGGUUCAGCUGGACUAUGGACAGAGGACGGCAAUCAUGUGGGGUUUUUUGGGCAAGAGGUGACGUGGAAUAUCGCUGACCCAGGAACUUAUCAUAGGAAUACACGGAACAAUCUGAGAGAAGAGAGGAGGACUGAAGGUGAAAAUAGGGAAGCCAGUGACAUCCAAAGUCAAGUACCUGACCCUACUGGCCGUGAUCAGACUUCACAGGAAGAAUGGUGUUCUGAAGCUUCAUCCACCCGAGCAGGAGUGAAUGACCACGAGCAACCUCAGCAACCUAUGUAUCCAUGUGAGGACCUCUGCCAGACAGUAGCUUUGUGUUACGAGAGGAGAGGAGUCUUUGAGGACAUCGACCACAGCAAUCGCUGCUGAUUGGCUGUUUCUUGUCUCUUCAGACUCAGGUGGUCCUGCUGGUGAGAUUUGUGCUGAUUACUUGAUCUUAUCCCCUCUCUUCUGCUCCUGCUGGCUUCAUGAAUACCUUUUUUUAUGCUCUGUUGGUGCCUUGUGUCUGCAGUAAGAAAUAACUCAUCUUUUUCAUCCAUUUUCUAUCCACUCUGUCCCAGAAGAAUGCCAAAAAUUCUGCAAAUCGAACUUACAAGAAUAGUUCCACAUUUUUGGAAAUUCAUUGUUGCCAAAUGUUCCAUGAGAAGAUUAAUAUCGUCCGUUGCUAUUCUAAAAAUAUCAAGCUACAGCAACAAAAUAGCUGAGCUUUUCAUAAAGGCUGUGUGAAUCUGGAAGCUUUCUCCAAAGGUAACAAAAUGUGCCCAAUGAGCCAAUAAUGCUCACUAGUUAACACAUCACCUUGGUGAUCUUUACCUUGGUUAGAGAAUUACUAGAAAACUGCUGGUGUUUUGUUUGAGGGUUCGUUUGUUUUGUUCCAGUCUCUAUGGUAAAAAUAGUUUGGUAUACUAGACUAGAAUGAGGACAAAUGAUGUCCUGUCCAACCAUGUCACAGUCUGUAGUUCUUCACAGCAGUGGAAGCCAUUUGAGUACAGUGAACUCACUGUCAGGUUCAAGAAACCAGUUUGAGAUGAUGUGAACUGACAUGACAUGUUAUCCUGCUGGAAAUAGCCUGGAGAAGAUGGCUACUCUGUGAUCAUAAAGAGAUGACCGUGUUCAGCAACAAUAUGGAGGAUAACCAAAGGGACCGAAAAUUUGCCAAGAAAAUAUUGAUGCGAGGCAGGAUGAAAUGCUUAUGCUUGCAUGUUGUUUAUGACAAAUUCUGACCGCACCAUCUGAAUGUCACAGCAGAAAUCAAGACUCAUCAGAGUCUCAGCUUCCUCUUCUGUGGUAACAUCAGUGAUAUUCGGUGUGGUCUUCUGCUGCUGUAGCUCAUUAUGUUCUGUAUUCAGGGACGCUCUUCUUACCUUGGUUGUAACAAGUGUUUUUUUGAGUUACUGUUGCUGUCCUAUCAGCUUGAAGAAGUCUGGCUAUUGUCCUCUGAUCCUGCAUCUACAGGACAUCAAGUGUCGCUCACUGGAUAUUUUAUCUUUCUUGAAGCAUCCUCUGUAAACCUGAGAGAUGGUUGUGUUGGAAACUCCCAGUAGAUCAGUAGUUUCUGAGACACUCAGAGCAGCCUGUCUGGCACAAACAACCAUGCCACUUUUAUAUUCACUUAAAUCACCUUUCCUCUCUAGUCUGAUGCUCAGUUUGAAUUUCAGUAUGUUGUCUUGACCACUACUGUUGUCUACAUGCUUAAAUGCAAUAAGUUGCUGCCAUGUGAUGACUAGAUAUUUGUAAUUACAGCAGGUGAACAGACAAGGCUUCUGGAUCUGAAAAGUAAGGCGUAAGCGGAAGUGGCAUAAACAUGCAUUCAUUCUCCAGCAGGGGGCGACUCCUCUUCUUGCUAAUUGUCUUGGAGUUUAUAAAAAAUGCAAUCACUGCUCCUGUUUCUCUAAUUAUGUUAUGCUUUCAUUUGCUAGUUUCAAGUCGCAUUGAAUACGAUGUGUAAAAUAUGGUUUCAUGUAGAGCAAAAAAGACAAUAAAAUCCCGUAUAUUAUAGAUCACGACUACUGUGUAGUACUAGCUUUGUAGUCUAGGUUUCUGGACAACACAGCUAUACUGGUCAGCACUGGUCAGCACAUGCAGCUAUAAAAGACUCGAUCAAUUUUGCAGGAAUGUGACAGCUUGGUUUCACCUCCUUUGUAACCUCGGUCGGUCUAAAGUUUUCCAAAAGAGCUUGAUUGAUGGGAAGGGAAAAUGGGACGGAAACAGAAGCAAGAAAUGAGUUCUGCUACUCUAUUUAGGAUGCAUCUGGAGACGGCUUUAUUGAAGAUUUGCCCACAAUCGGCUGUGUGUUUUAUCAAAAUUUGACUGGCAGCUCAAAGCUCAGCGUGCAGCAUCUGAAAGAAAAAAGUGAGUCAGAUGUAGAAAGAGAUUCAAACGUGAACAUUGUUCCUUUGUGUUCCUUUUAUGAAGUUGUUUUGAAACAGCAAAUUGAAUAUCUCCUUUUGAAUAUGCGAUGAACUCACUGUGCUGGAAGGAUUUUCAGUGUCACUGCACUGUCUCUUCUGCAUUUCAUAUGCUGUAUUAUUUUUUGCCCUUUGUCCCUCGCUUUCAGCUUUCAUCUUAUUCCACUGUAAUGUUUGCAAACUAAUGUAUGAUGUUUGGCCCAUUUAUUCAUAAUAUACUUCUUUUAUAUGCAUAAAGAAAAAAAUUUGACACUUUGGGAAAUAUCAACACUGUGAUGGUGGUGUGCUAGCCAAGCAUAGUGGAGUGUAAAUUAUGUAAAUGGCUUGCCUGGCUCUGUGCAACAGUAUUGAAAUUUGCCUAAUCAGGACCUCUAAAAGCUCACAAUGUGUAAAAAUGAGAAAUAACUUUAUGGGAGUAGGGGUGGGAUUGUACUCUGUGCUAUUCUUGUUUUUGUUUUUUGAGUGGGUGCAACUUAGAGCUGUCCUCCCAGGAAAUGACUAUACUUUAUUUCCAUUUGUGUUUGUAUCUAUUUCCCAUUUUCCUAGCAAAAUAUGAAGAAAUGAUGUGCUUUUGUACAAUAUAGUGGGGUGCUUAGCAUUUUGUUACCUUUGGAAAAAGCUGAGCAAACUGUUUCGCUGUAAUUCCCUUCUUUAUGCUAAGCUAUAGCAAAGAGAAUGAUAUAUAACUAUGAAAGGACAGAGAGCUGAAGUAGUUUUAAAUGAAGUUAGCUCUCUGACUUGUUGCAGCUCUUUGCAGAUAAUUUGAAGCUUCCUGAUAUGAUACUUCUAGGUCAUCCAAACAGUCAUCUAGACAGGAAAACAUCAGAGCCAUCGCAUCGCUUUAUCUCAACAAAAGCCACCCUGUA